UACGAAGGGGGCUAGCGUUGCUCGGAAUCACUGGGCGUAAAGCGCACGUAGGCGGCUUUCUAAGUCAGGGGUGAAAUCCUGGAGCUCAACUCCAGAACUGCCUUUGACACUGGAAAGCUUGAGUCCGGGAGAGGUGAGUGGAACUGCGAGUGUAGAGGUGAAAUUCGUAGAUAUUCGGAAGAACACCAGUGGCGAAGGCGGCCAUCUGGACCAGUACUGACGCUGAGGCACGAAAGCGCGGGGAGCAAACAGG
rnacentral:rRNA from 1 species